rnacentral:lncRNA from 1 species
GAGUAUAACUGAAGCACAUAUUGCUGGAUGCUACAGAGAAAAUCACAUGGAGAAUAACACUAAUGGACAUGUAAACACACAUCGAUAAAUACAAUACAAUUAGCCCUCCAGAACUGAUGGAAAGAACACAGCAGAGGAGCUUUUAUGUAUACAUGAAGCUAUUCUCAUUCUGUGUAUUAGAAUCCAACUCCUUGGCAAAAACUAAACAGCCUCCAAAAAGCCUGCUGGAUUGGCUCUGUCCAUUCCUCAUACUAUGACAAAGAACUGUGGAGCGUCAAUAGGGAAAAGAAAAGGGCAUGGGGGCACUGCAGGAAACUCUGCAAGGACUCUGCAUUUCAUCUGGAGAACAAUGGACUGGAAGAGUACAUAAUCUAUCCCCUUCACAUCAACACACAAGCACUGAUAUUUCUCUGAUAUUUGCUGCUACAACCUCCCCAGAUGCAGCCACAACUUACUUUGUUGUUUCUUUACACUGAACACAUACCUUAGCUGACCUUGCUUCCUGAAGUGCAAAUUGCGCAAAUGUAAUCUUUGCAAAAUUCCUCAUAUUCCUCAAACAUUUGCUCAAACUUCAUCAUUUUUGAAGACUCUGAUCACCCUACAAAUGCUACAGACAUCUACCAACUCAGCAUUCUAUUCAUUUAAUUACUCCAAUAUUGUCAUUGUUUCAAAUAUCCAUAACCUUUUAAUGUAUUAUAUAAAUUAUUUAUUAUUGUAGAAAAUGAAAAUUAGCUGGACAGCAAAUAUCUACCCAGUCAAAAAAGAUUUAGAUAAAUUCAGCUGGAAAGUUAACAGGAAACACAUUUCUUCCAAGGUUUGUGGCCACUGAAAAGUGGUAAGAUAACUGCCUUCU